rnacentral:ribozyme from 1 species
CCAACCAAGGUCAUCAAGGCGAAGAUGUAAUGCACCCGUUCGUUGCGUGGCUGUUGCGUCUUUUGCUCGAUGCCUGCUCCGAGGCCCGGAGGAUGCACG